GAUGAACGCUGGCGGCGUGCCUAAUACAUGCAAGUCGAGCGAACAGACGAGGAGCUUGCUCCUUUGACGUUAGCGGCGGACGGGUGAGUCACACGUGGAUAACCUACCUAUAAGACUGGGAUAACUUCGGGAAACCGGAGCUAAUACCGGAUAACAUGUUGAACCGCAUGGUUCAACCGUGAAAUCCGGUCUUGGUGUGACUUAUAGAUGGAUCCGCCCCGCAUUAGCUAGUGGGUAAGGUAACGGCUUACCAAGGCAACGAUGCGUAACCGACCUGAGCGGGUGAUCGGCCACCCUGGAACUGAGACAGGGCCCAGACUCCUACGGGAGGCAGCAGUAGGGAAUCUUACGCAAGGGGGGAGAGCCUGACGGAGCAACGCCGCGGGAGUGAAGAAGGUCUUCGGACCGGAAAACUCUGUUGUUAGGGAAGAACAAAUGUGUAAGUAACUAUGCACGUCUUGACGGUACCUAAUCAGAAAGCCCCGGCUAACUACGUG
rnacentral:rRNA from 1 species